rnacentral:piRNA from 1 species
UCUUAUCGGGCACUAGGCUCUUUGGGAAC